UCAGACAGUACAUCGUAUUUUAAAAAGUACAGCAGUUCAAAAUGUAAACAAACCGUUUGUUUACAUUACGGACUUGACUUCCACUUUAAGUUUUCUUAUUUUGACAUACAGUAAAACCCCACAUAAAAGAACCAGUGGGUUAAGAACCACCAGCCUGACAUUUGGGCAAUUAAGCAUCCAAAAUACAAGUUUUUAGAAGUUUUUUAAGUUUAGAUAUAUGUAACGAGAACCAUAUU